GAUUGUCGAAGGAUAAGUUUAAGACCUUAAUUCACAAUC
ncrna:unclassified sequences S4-Flavobacteria ribosomal protein leader